rnacentral:rRNA from 1 species
UUGGAGGGCAAGUCUGGUGCCAGCAGCCGCGGUAAUUCCAGCUCCAAUAGCGUAUAUUAAAGUUGUUGCAGUUAAAAAGCUCGUAGUUGAAUUUCGGGAUCAAUUUAUCGGUCGUGCCUACGGUAUGAACUGGUACAAUUGGUUUCUCCCUUCUGAAGAAGCAUGAUGUCAUUAAUUUGGUGUCGUGGGGAAUCAGGACUGUUACUUUGAAAAAAUUAGAGUGUUUAAAGCAAGCAUUAGCUUGAAUACAUUAGCAUGGAAUAAUGAAAUAGGACGUUUGACCCUAUUUUGUUGGUUUCUAGGAUCGACGUAAUGAUUAAUAGGGAUAGUUGGGGGCAUUAGUAUUCAAUUGUCAGAGGUGAAAUUCUUGGAUUUAUUGAAGACUAACUACUGCGAAAGCAUUUGCCAAGGAUGUUUUCAUUAAUCAAGAACGAAAGUUAGGGGAUCGAAGACGAUCAGAUACCGUCGUAGUCUUAACCAUAAACUAUGCCGACUAGGGAUCGGAUGAUGUUAAUUUUUUAAUGACUCAUUCGGCGCCUUACGGGAAAC